AGGACGAACGCUGGCGGCGCGCUUAACACAUGCAAGUCGAGCGAGAUCCGGUCCUUCGGGACUGGGGAAAGCGGCGAACGGGUGAGUAACACGUGGGUAAUCAACCCUCGGUACCGGGAUAGCCCGAGGAAACUCGGAUUAAUACCGGAUGGCCCAGCAGCUCUUCGGGGCGGCUGGGAAAGGUAGCUUCGGCCUCCGACCGAGGACGAGCCCGCGGCGGAUUAGCUUGUUGGCGGGGUAAUGGCCCACCAAGGCGACGAUCCGUAGCUGGUCUGAGAGGACGAUCAGCCACACUGGGACUGAGACACGGCCCAGACUCCUACGGGAGGCAGCAGUGGGGAAUCUUGCACAAUGGGCGGAAGCCUGAUGCAGCGACGCCGCGUGAGGGAAGAAGGCUUUCGGGUUGUAAACCUCUUUCAGGAGGGACGAAGCUACUCGGGUUAAUAGCCCAGAGGGUGACGGUACCUCCAGAAGAAGCCCCGGCUAACUACGCGCCAGCAGCCGCGGU
rnacentral:rRNA from 1 species